AGGGGUAUAGCUCAGUUGGUAGAGCGGCGGUCUCCAAAACCGCAGGCCGGGGGUUCAAGUCCCUCUGCCCCUGCCA
rnacentral:tRNA from 2 species